UUAAUAAGCGGAGGAAAAGAAACCAACAGGGAUUGCCCUAGUAACGGCGAGUGAAGCGGCAACAGCUCAAAUUUGAAAUCUGGCGCAAGCCCGAGUUGUAAUUUGUAGAGGAUGUUUCUGGCGACGUGCCUUCCGAGUUCCCUGGAACGGGACGCCAUAGAGGGUGAGAGCCCCGUACGGUUGGAUGCCUAGCCUCUGUGAAACUCCUUCGACGAGUCGAGUAGUUUGGGAAUGCUGCUCUAAAUGGGAGGUAUACGUCUUCUAAAGCUAAAUACCGGCCAGAGACCGAUAGCGCACAAGUAGAGUGAUCGAAAGAUGAAAAGCACUUUGAAAAGAGGGUUAAAAAGUACGUGAAAUUGUUGAAAGGGAAGCGUUCAUGACCAGACUUGGGCAGGUUGAUCAUCCGUGGUUCUCCGCGGUGCACUCUGCCUGCCCAGGCCAGCAUCAGUUCGCCCCGGGGGAUAAAGGUUUUGGGAAUGUGGCUCCCUCGGGAGUGUUAUAGCCCACUGCGUAAUACCCUGGGGGGACUGAGGUUCGCGUCUGCAAGGAUGCGGCGUAAGUCACACC
rnacentral:rRNA from 1 species